AUGAAGACAUCCGUUGGAGCGUCUUUCAUGUUCUUUUGGCUGCAGCUGCACUGGGUGAGCCGAGGAGAUGAUGUGAAACAGUUUCCUUCUAUUCUGAGUGUCCAGGAAGGAGACAGCUCUGUUAUCAACUGUACUUAUUCUGACAGUUCAUCAGCCUUUUUCGCAUGGUAUAAACAAAAACCUGGUCAGGGGCCCCAGCUCAUUCUAGACAUUCGCUCUAAUAUGGAGAAAAAGCAAAACCAACGACUCACAGUUUUGCUGAAUAAAGUGGCAAAACACUUCACUCUGCACAUUGCAGCCACCCAGCUUGGAGACUCAGCCGUCUACUUCUGCGCAACGAGUACACAUUGCUUCCCCUGCACCUGCAGGCAGUACCCAAACCUGUGA